UGAACAGGUGGAGACCUAUGGUAGUUUGUGGAGGUUGGAGGUGAACAGGUAAGAGACCUACAGUAGUUUGUGGAGGUUGGAGGUGAACAGGUGGAGACCUAUGGUAGUUUGUGGAGGUUGGAGGUGAACAGGUAAGAGACCUACAGUAGUUUGUGGAGGUUGGAGGUGAACAGGUGGAGACCUAUGGUAGUUUGUGGAGGUUGGAGGUGAACAGGUGGAGACCUAUGGUAGUUUGUGGAGGUUGGAGGUGAACAGGUAAGAGACCUACAGUAGUUUGUGGAGGUUGGAGGUGAACAGGUGGAGACCUAUGGUAGUUUGUGGAGGUUGGAGGUGAACAGGUAAGAGACCUACAGUAGUUUGUGGAGGUUGGAGGUGAACAGGUGGAGACCUAUGGUAGUUUGUGGAGGUUGGAGGUGAACAGGUGGAGACCUAUGGUAGUUUGUGGAGGUUGGAGGUGAACAGGUGGAGACCUAUGGUAGUUUGUGGAGGUUGGAGGUGAACAGGUGGAGACCUAUGGUAGUUUGUGGAGGUUGGAGGUGAACAGGUAAGAGACCUACAGUAGUUUGUGGAGGUUGGAGGUGAACAGGUAAGAGACCUACAGUAGUUUGUGGAGGUUGGA